rnacentral:misc_RNA from 1 species
GAUGAAGAACGUAGUGAAAUGCGAUAAGUAAUGUGAAUUGCAGAAUUCAGUGAAUCAUCGAAUCUUUGAACGCACAUUGCGCCCAUUAGUAUUCUAGUGGGCAUGCCUGUUCGAGCGUCAUUUCAACCCUUAAGCCCCUGUUGCUUAGCGUUGGGAGCCUACAGCCUGCUGUAGUUCCUCAAAGUUAGUGGCGGAGUCAGUUCACACUCUAGACGUAGUAAAAUCUUUAUCUCGCCUAUAGGUGAGCUGGCGCCUUGCCGUAAAAACCCCUAAUCUUUUACAAGGUUGACCUCGGAUCAGGUAGGAAUACCCGCUGAACUUAAGCAUAUCAAUAAGCGGAGGA